UAACUUCAGUAAUUACGAUCAAGACACUCAGACUGUUGCAACCAAGUAUCAAGGGACGUAAUUAUUGUUGCUGACAGUGCCAGCUAUGGUCUUCCAGUUACACUGAAACCGGACUGUGUGUGAAGUAACAAACAGGAUAGAAACAGAUUUCCAUCAAACAGACUCACACAAAUAAUGAAGAAAUAUUGGAGAAAUAUUUGAGAAGUUUUAUACCGAUGCUGCAGACUGUGGAAAGGAGACAGACUCCAAUUAAACUGCAACUUGGCAUUAGAAUAGUGAAGGAAUCAGAAAACCAAAGCGAUUGCAUCCAUCUCUGCAAGAAUGCAACCAGCCAAAGGAAAUGGCAGCAGUCAAUGACCAUGAGAUCAAGGAAAUCAACAAAGGUCUGCUAGACUCCUGAGUCAAUACCCUGGCAUUUCAGCUGUGGAAGAUCACAGAGCGGAUUUCAUCUUGUGAAGAUGUCAUUCAAUUGACCGUUUAACACCGUAGGUUAACACUCAUUAAAGUCUGUGAAUAUUCGCAUCAUCUUACACAAUUGCAUUGCGGGAAUUAAAAAAAAAAUC